rnacentral:rRNA from 1 species
UACGGAGGGUGCAAGCGUAUCCGGAUUCACUGGGUUUAAAGGGUGCGUAGGCGGAUAAGUAAGUCAGUGGUGAAAUCUCCGAGCUUAACUCGGAACUGCCGUUGAUACUAUUUGUCUUGAAUAUUGUGGAGGUAAGCGGAAUAUGUCAUGUAGCGGUGAAAUGCUUAGAUAUGACAUAGAACACCAAUUGCGAAGGCAGCUUACUACACAAUGAUUGACGCUGAGGCACGAAAGCGUGGGGAUCAAACAGG